AGCCUAUGAAAUGAAUGCAUAAAUCUCCAUUUUCACGAGUUCAUAAAAUUACCUAUGUUAUUCAACGACAUUUUUUUGUUUAUGCGUCCUGGUGAGUUAAUUUUGCCAUACGACUUUACUUUUCAAUGAGAACCAACAUCAAGUUUACCUGCAGCGAUUAGUUAACUUUUGCAGCCUAGGCUUCGCGAAACUAUUCGUAUCAUUUUCUGCAGUCAAAAGCUGACGUUUUGGCCAUAGCAUUACAACUAAUAAUAAACACAAAAAACGAUGAAUUUGGAUGAUGUAAUUUUGUAUUUGAUUACCACAGCAUACGUAUUCAUAGUAGCAUCUUCGCUCAUCUGUGUAGUAAUUCAUCUUUAUAAGUUUUUUCGAAGUAGCAAUACUCGUAAUUUGGCCACAAAAAAUUUAACGUUUUAUUGUACUUUUCUGUUAUUUGAUUAUGUUUGCAUUUUAGUAGACAUGCUACAAAAAAUUUUAUUUUUUUUUGGAUAUUUUUCAAGGUAUGAUGAAAAAUAUAUUACCGCAAUUGAGAUUUACCUGGACCUUAA